GAGCAUAGCUCAGUUGGGAGAGCAUCUGCCUUACAAGCAGGGGGUCACAGGUUCGAGCCCUGUUGUUCCC
rnacentral:tRNA from 2 species